rnacentral:rRNA from 1 species
GACGAACGCUGGCGGCGUGCUUAACACAUGCAAGUCGAACGGUAAGGCCCUUCGGGUACGACGAGUGGCGAACGGGUGAGUAACACGUGGGUGAUCUGCCCUGCACUUCGGGAUAAGCUUGGGAAACUGGGUCUAAUACCGGAUAGGACCACGGUCUGCAUGGAUUGUGGUGGAAAGCUUUUGCGGUGUGGGAUGGGCCCGCGGCCUAUCAGCUUGUUGGUGGGGUGAUGGCCUACCAAGGCGACGACGGGUAGGGGACCUGAGAGGGUGACCCCCCACACUGGGACUGAGACACGGCCCAGACUCCUACGGGAGGCAGCAGUAAGGAAUAUUGGUCAAUGGACGGAAGUCUGAACCAGCCAUGCCGCGUGCAAGAAGAAGGCCCUACGGGUUGUAAAUUGCUUUUAAUCGAGAAUAACAGUAACUACGUGUAGUUGUAUGAAAGUAUCGAUAGAAUAAGGAUCGGCUAACUCCGUG